GACGAACGCUGGCGGCGUGCUUAACACAUGCAAGUCGAACGGAAAGGCCCUUCGGGGUACUCGAGUGGCGAACGGGUGAGUAACACGUGGGUGAUCUGCCCUGCACUUUGGGAUAAGCCUGGGAAACUGGGUCUAAUACCGAAUAGGACCACGCGCUUCAUGGUGUGUGGUGGAAAGCUUUUGCGGUGUGGGAUGGGCCCGCGGCCUAUCAGCUUGUUGGUGGGGUAAUGGCCUACCAAGGCGACGACGGGUAGCCGGCCUGAGAGGGUGACCGGCCACACUGGGACUGAGAUACGGCCCAGACUCCUACGGGAGGCAGCAGUGGGGAAUAUUGCACAAUGGGCGCAAGCCUGAUGCAGCGACGCCGCGUGAGGGAUGACAGCCUUCGGGUUGUAAACCUCUUUCAAUAGGGACGAAGCGCAAGUGACGGUACCUAUAGAAGAAGCACCGGCCAACUACGUG
rnacentral:rRNA from 1 species